UACGUAGGGGGCGAGCGUUGUCCGGAUUUAUUGGGCGUAAAGAGCGUGUAGGCGGUUAGGUAGGUCCGGUGUGAAAACUCGAGGCUUAACCUCGAGAGGUCGCCGGAAACCCCCUGGCUAGAGUCCGGAAGAGGAGAGUGGAAUUCCUGGUGUAGCGGUGAAAUGCGCAGAUAUCAGGAAGAACACCGAUGGCGAAAGCAGCUCUCUGGGACGGUACUGACGCUGAGACGCGAAAGCGUGGGGAGCGAACAGG
rnacentral:misc_RNA from 1 species